UGGCUGUCGUCAGCUCGUGUCGUGAGAUGUUGGGUUAAGUCCCGCAACGAGCGCAACCCUUAUCCUUAGUUACCAGCGGGAAAGCCGGGGACUCUAAGGAGACUGCCUGCGAUAAGCAGGAGGAAGGUGGGGAUGACGUCAAGUCAGUACGGCCCUUACGCCUGGGGCUACACACGUGCUACAAUGCGCGGUACAAAGGGUUGCAAACCCGUGAGGGGGAGCCAAUCCCAAAAAACCGUGCCCAGUUCGGAUCGAAGGCUGCAACUCGCCUUCGUGAAGCCGGAAUCGUUAGUAACCCCACAUAAGUCACGGCGAGGUGAAUACGUUCCCGGGUCUUGUACACACCGCCCGU
rnacentral:rRNA from 1 species